rnacentral:rRNA from 1 species
CACCGCGGUUAUACGAGUGACUCAAGUAGAUUGGUAAACGGCGUAAAGUGUGGCUAAGGGGACCGUCAUAAAAUAAAGCAGAACAUCCUCAGCACUGUGAUACGUACAGCCGAGGCCAAAGAAGCACAUCUACGAAAGUGGCUUUAACCAACCCCACCCACGAAAGCUGGGAAA